GCUUCAGUGGCGCAAUCGGUAGCGCAAGUCCAUGGUAAGGACGAGGUUAUGGGUUCGAGUCCCAUCUCGAAGCACCA
rnacentral:tRNA from 1 species